rnacentral:rRNA from 1 species
UUUUAUGAGAGUUUGAUCCUGGCUCAGGACGAACGCUGGCGGCGUGCCUAAUACAUGCAAGUCGAACGCUUCUUUUUCCACCGGAGCUUGCUCCACCGGAAAAAGAGGAGUGGCGAACGGGUGAGUAACACGUGGGUAACCUGCCCAUCAGAAGGGGAUAACACUUGGAAACAGGUGCUAAUACCGUAUAACAAGCGAAGCCGGAUGGUUGUGAUUUGAAAGGCGCUUUCGGGGGUCGCUGAUGGAUGGACCCGCGGUGCAUUAGCUAGUUGGUGAGGUAACGGCUCACCAAGGCCACGAUGCAUAGCCGACCUGAGAGGGUGAUCGGCCACAUUGGGACUGAGACACGGCCCAAACUCCUACGGGAGGCAGCAGUAGGGAAUCUUCGGCAAUGGACGAAAGUCUGACCGAGCAACGCCGCGUGAGUGAAGAAGGUUUUCGGAUCGUAAAAC